UACGUAGGGUGCGAGCGUUGUCCGGAAUUAUUGGGCGUAAAGAGCUCGUAGGCGGUUUGUCGCGUCUGCUGUGAAAACUCGGGGCUUAACUCCGGGCCUGCAGUGGGUACGGGCAGACUAGGGUGCGGUAGGGGAGACUGGAAUUCCUGGUGUAGCGGUGAAAUGCGCAGAUAUCAGGAGGAACACCGGUGGCGAAGGCGGGUCUCUGGGCCGUAACUGACGCUGAGGAGCGAAAGCGUGGGGAGCGAACAGG
rnacentral:rRNA from 1 species